rnacentral:rRNA from 1 species
UACGUAGGGGGCGAGCGUUGUCCGGAUUUAUUGGGCGUAAAGGGCUCGCAGGCGGCCUGGCCAAGUCGUGCGUGAAAUCUCUCGGCUUAACUGAGAGCGGUCGUGCGAUACUGGUCGGCUCGAGGCCGGUAGGGGGAAGCGGAAUUCCGGGUGUAGUGGUGGAAUGCGUAGAUAUCCGGAGGAACACCAGUGGCGAAGGCGGCUUCCUGGACCGGUCCUGACGCUCAGGAGCGAAAGCGUGGGUAGCGAUCCGG